rnacentral:rRNA from 1 species
UACGUAGGGACCAAGCGUUGUUCGGAUUUACUGGGCGUAAAGGGCGCGUAGGCGGUGUGGUAAGUCACUUGUGAAAUCUCUGAGCUUAACUCAGAACGGCCAAGUGAUACUGCUGUGCUAGAGUGCAGAAGGGGCAAUCGGAAUUCUUGGUGUAGCGGUGAAAUGCGUAGAUAUCAAGAGGAACACCUGAGGUGAAGACGGGUUGCUGGGCUGACACUGACGCUGAGGCGCGAAAGCCAGGGGAGCAAACGGG